GACGAACGCUGGCGGCGUGCCUAAUACAUGCAAGUUGAGCGCUGAAGGUUGGUACUUGUACCAACUGGAUGAGCAGCGAACGGGUGAGUAACGCGUGGGGAAUCUGCCUUUGAGCGGGGGACAACAUUUGGAAACGAAUGCUAAUACCGCAUAAAAACUUUAAACACAAGUUUUAAGUUUGAAAGAUGCAAUUGCAUCACUCAAAGAUGAUCCCGCGUUGUAUUAGCUAGUUGGUGAGGUAAAGGCUCACCAAGGCGAUGAUACAUAGCCGACCUGAGAGGGUGAUCGGCCACAUUGGGACUGAGACACGGCCCAAACUCCUACGGGAGGCAGCAGUAGGGAAUCUUCGGCAAUGGACGAAAGUCUGACCGAGCAACGCCGCGUGAGUGAAGAAGGGUGUCGGAUCGUAAAACUCUGUUGGUAGAGAAGAACGUUGGUGAGAGUGGAAAGCUCAUCAAGUGACGGUAACUACACAGAAAGGGACGGCUAACUACGUG
rnacentral:rRNA from 1 species